GUGAACUUCAGGAGGGGAAGAGAGGAAGUGCGCUGGGCAAAGAGGAAACGAUGUCACAGGACACACUUUUGCUGUCUUUGCUGCUGUCGCCUAAGAGGUGGACACAGCUCCCGAGGACUUACGCUAGAAGCCAAGCCAGUCUCCUCACCUGAAAAAUGGGAAGAGCAAAAUAUCCUACCCUAGAGGGUUGCUGUGAGAGCCGAAAGCGUCUAUCCACGUGAAGCACAUGGGACAGAGCCUGGCACAAAGAAAAUGCUUCCCAGCUCCAUCAGCCCACCGCCCCCUCUGGCCUUCCCUCAAGAGCAGCCACUGGGCCUUGGUUGCCAUGGAGACAGUUUCCCUCAGAGGCUUUGCCUCCCAUCUUCUUUUCUUUUCUUUUCUUUUUUCUUUUUUUUUAAUUUGAGACAAGAUCUCGCUUUGUCACCCGGCCUG
rnacentral:lncRNA from 1 species